UACGUAGGGGCCGAGCGUUGUCCGGAGUUAUUGGGCGUAAAGCGCGCGCAGGCGGCUUCGCGCGUCCGACGUGAAAGCCCCCGGCUUAACCGGGGAGGGUCGUUGGGUACGGCGGAGCUUGAGGGCGGGAGAGGGUGGUGGAAUUCCCGGUGUAGUGGUGAAAUGCGUAGAGAUCGGGAGGAACACCUGUGGCGAAGGCGGCCACCUGGGCCGACCCUGACGCUGAGGCGCGAAGGCGUGGGGAGCGAACAGG
rnacentral:rRNA from 1 species